GGCUCACUCUCUCUCUCUCUCUCUCUCUCACACACACACACACACACUCACACCCCUUCCCAUAUAUGCUCCUACUCUCAGCUAGGAUUUUGGAGAAUAUUUAUUUUUGUUUCAGAAACCGUAAUCGCUAGGAAUUGUUCAGUGUAAUGGAAUCUAUUUACACUUAAGGAAUAGAAACAGUAAUUUAAAAAAGAUAGAAGGGUAAAUAAGAGGCAACAAAGAAUAAGAAAAUUAAAGGUGAUGGAAAUGUAUAAGAAA
rnacentral:lncRNA from 1 species